rnacentral:lncRNA from 1 species
AUGGUUCUACUCUUUCUUAAUUCCUAUAGCCAAGCACACCCAUCCAUUGGCCUCCACCUGGCAGAUUCUACUUUUGCUGAAAGAUCACAGAGAGGCAGGACAUUGCCCCCCCCGCUGACCAUGGAUCUCCUCUUCUGCCUGGACCCAAACUGUCCAGUACACAAGAACUUCGGUCCCAUUCCAGAGCUCAACACACAUUUGCUACACUCCUUAAGGGACAGGCUUCCUUCUUCCUUGCCAACCUCUGUGGCUAAGUUCUCAGUAAACUUUAAAGCUACACACUUUGAAUGGGAGAAGACAUUCUGCUCUGAUUCCUGGGAAAUGUGUCUCUUUCCAUGUCCAAAUGGCUGGCUUAGUGCGAGAAAAACAAACACCACUGCCUCCUCUAUGGAAAGAUGUGCCCCCUGCCCCAGGACUUGCUCCACAUCUGCCUUCAAUCACGCCAACACUCCUUCAUCAUUAUUCUCACGGCUUACCACCCCUGCGCGGAGCUCUGAGUGGGAGUCUUCUUUGGGGCGAGUGUGCACACAUGCGUGGGAAUGUGGACACAAGCAGUACCAUACGCCACACAGCCUUCGGAAAUCUGGCUUUUCAACUCAAUAACAUUUCUGGAGAUCUUUCCAAAUCAGUGCGCAUCUCAUUUCAAAAUGAAUGUUGCGUUUGAUGGUAUAUGCAAAUCACUAUUUAUUCCCAUCAUCCUUCUGCAGAGGGUCCUUCAGUUGUCAAGGAUGUUCUAUGAUGACAGAUAAGGCUGACGUGAGCAUCCUUGGACAUAUGCUGAUUUGAGUGUUUAUCCUUAACACAACCCUAGAAAAGUUGAAUCGUUGGAUCCCAGGAGUUUGUGUAUAAAGUUUUAAUAAAUACCGGCAAGUCGUCCCCUGUGGUGGUCAUGCCAAAUCAUGUGCCCAUUCGCAACAUGAGGGAGUACCCACAUCCCCUCACCAGCUCGUACAGGUACUGAACGUCUUAUUUCCACCAACUCUUAUCACUGAUAACCAUCCUCAGGACUCAGCUCAGGUGGCCUGCUUUCCCCACGUUGAAGGGACACUUGCCUCCUCUGGUGCCCGCUAACUCUCUGUUUCCAUUAUUGACUCACCACACCAUAUGGCACAUACGUAUUUCCUUGUUUGCUCUACUAGACUGUGAGUUCCUUGGGAAAAAGGCCAAAAUAGGCUCCCAGGAAAAGUUUGCUUAGUUGGACCAGAUUAACCCCCUGCGUUUUCCAGAUGUUCUCACAUGCCUUUGCCAGGAAUUCUUGUGCCCCUGGCAGCACCAGAAACAGGUGGAGUUUCAUAUGAACUUUUGGCAUUGAGAACUAGUUGCGUGAAAAGAAUUUCAUGCGGAAAUUAAUGCGGUUAGGUGCAGCUGAGAAGAAAGAGGAGAGGGACAAAACUCAAAAGAAAGGUCUGCUGGCAAGAAUAAAUAUUAGCCAGGCUCUGCUGACCCGGGCACUUCAGCUCCUCAGUGGGGAGCACUGUGUUCUAGCCAGUCCCGCCAUGUGCCCCCCACAUCCUGCAUCUGAGCCUCUUGGAACUUCUUGCCAUUUUCUGGGUAUAAGAUUUUGUCGAUCUCCAAUUUUACUUACAUACGAUGUUCCGAUUUCCUGAAACACCCUUACAUUCCUGCCCACUGUUUUGGCCAACUUUUGUUCAGAGCACGUCCGAUCCAAAGGCCUUCUCCUCUGUGUGGCUUCUCUGGAAUGUGUGUGUGUGUGUGUGUGUGUGUGUGUGUGUGUGUGUGUGUGUGUACAUAUGAGUGUGUAGACACAAUUUUAUAUAUACAAUACAAAAAUAAACACACGUGAACCGCUAAGUUCCUGAUACUGCACCUGCACGCGAAGCUCCCACCGUCUCGAACACUGCCAGAUGCUGUGCCAGAGGGAUGCAUGAGAGGGAGAAAGGGGGUAGAGGGAGAAGGACAGCAAGUAUGGGAACAUUCUGGAAAAUGUCACAUGGCAAUGAAAUGCUCAUCCUGGAAAUGAUUCUCAUCCUUUCUGCUAACUGACCAAAACUAUUUGAUCCCCACCCACCCAAAGGGACCAAGCAGGCUCAGAUUGCCCUAAAGACUAAGACUCCAGGUUCUCGAAUUUUGUGUUUGUCAUUCUCUUGUGUGUGUGUAUGUCGUACACUGCAUUUCUAAACAACACACUGUUGGGUUUGUUGGUUUUUAAAAAUUGUGUUAAUGCUGGAUUUAGUCUUCUGUUGAUUUUUUAAAAAUAGGCGAUAUCUUUGUAAACUCUAUUCAUGCUGUUGCAUUUAGUGUUUGUUAAUUCAUCUUUACUGGUAUAUAAUAUCCUAUCGUGUGAAUAUGGCAUUACUUUUUAAAUUUUUUAUUUAUUUAUUUAUGGGGGGGAGUAGAAGGGGAGAGAGAGAGAGAGAGAGAGAGAGAGAGAGAAUGCCUGAGUGGAGGGAGGAGCAGAGGGGGAGAGAGAAUCCUGAAGCAGACUCCCCUCUGAGCAUGGACCCUGACAUGGGGCUCCAUCCCACAACCCUGGGGUCAUGACCUGAGCUGAAACCAAGAGUUAGCCGUUUAACCAGCUGAGCCACCCAGGUGCCCCUGAAUAUGGCAUUAUUUAUCCAUGUUUUAAUGAUGGACAUGGGGGGUUACUUCUAGAUUUUUACUUUAUAAAUAACAUGGCUUUAUAACUCCUUACACAUGCCUCCUGGUAUAAGGUAUUCAGAGUAUUUUCCAGACGAGAGCAACACUGAGCUAUGUGCUCUGUGACAGUCACUCUUAUAAGUAGUAGGUUAUCUUCCCUCACCUGUGCCUACGAGUUUAUACUCAUCUUCCUCAUUGUGACUUAAUUUGUGCUACUGCCUUCAUUUGAAUUUCUCUGAACUUGAAAACAUUUUUGUUUAUUGAUGAUUUGUGUUUUCUGCUGAGUGAGGCAUGUAUUCUCUUUUGCCCAUUUUUUUAUUGGAUUGUCUUUUUUUUUUUUUUUGAUUUGUAGGAGUUCUCUGUACAUUCUGGGUACUAUUCCUUUCUCUGUUACAUAUCUUCUCCCAGUUUGUGGCUCAAUUUAUCACGUUCUUGGACUGGUCAAAAUUUUGUGCUUAGCUCAUUUGUUUCUUGUUUAAAAAAUCCUCCUCUACCUGAGAAUUCACAUAUAAAGGAAGUGAAAAAUCAAACUGAAUGGCUCUCUAAGGGAAGCCUAUCCUAAGUGGAGGAAACAGUCAGUGCAAAGGUUCUGAGGUAGGAGUGUUCUUACUGUGCACACAAAGAUGAAGGCCGUGUGGGGCUGGAGACCGUGAGGGGGGCGGACAUUGUGUCAGGAGAUGAGGUCAGAGGGGCAUCAGAAGGCCUGAUGAUGAAGCUUUAUUCAGAGUGUGAUGGAAAUCCAUGGAGUCUUUUGAGCAGAGGGCAGAAGGUCAUGGUCUGAAUUAUAAUUUUCCAGAACCCCUUUACCUGAUGCCUCAUAAUGAACUACACUCCUGAUGCAGAAGCUGGUAAACCCACAGGGAAUCCACUGCCACAGUCCAGGGAAGAGAGAGAUGGCAGUGGGGUGGUGAAGAGGGCAGAUCCAGGACAUAUUUGGAAGAAAGCUAGGAGAACCCACUGAUGGAUCACACGUGGGGCAUAAGAGGCAAAGAGAUGUCAGGGUGGCUCCAGGUCAUUUACUGAGUUGGAGGAAGACACCGAGGAAAGAUCUGGGUGUGAGGUGGGGAGAACGUCAGGAGCUCUGGCUCAGACAUGUCACGUUCACGAGGCCUUGUGGACUUCCAGAUGGAAAGGCCAGGUAAGCAACGACUAUCUGAGUCUGGGAGAGAUCUGGGUGGAGAAAUAUUUGGACAGUGACAACACAGACAGAUGGCAUAUGCUAACGUAUACAGAGAUGAGCAAAGGUCCAAGGACUGUGCCUCGGGGUACUUGUACGUUGAUCUCAUGGAUGGGAGACCAACAAGCCAGGAGAUGAGCUUCACAGACCAGGUGCCUCCAGAUGGACGGGACCUUUCUUCCCCACCUGUGUGCGGAUUCUGCAGCCCCCACAGAUCUGUGACACCCCCCCACCCCCCCGCGCCCGGCUGCUCCCGCCCUUUCUCUUCCUUCUCCCCUAGACGAAUUACUAGCACUAGUAAAUGUUUGCUCUGGCUCAUAAAUGCAUAAUGCCUACCACACAAACCUCAACUGCCUGUAAUCGAGAUCACGCACAUGCAGAAAGGAUUGUACGCGUGGAAGCUAUAAAUGACGCUGUCGCCCGAGGUUGCCGCAGGAAAUAGGGCCGGUGAGGUGGAAAUUGCAUCCCCAGUUUACUACCGAAACAACCUGCCUCCCUCUGCCACUGCCACCCUGGAAGGUAGAGCGAAUUAGCUGUAAAUAUUUUACAGUUGGUAAUUUGCAGGAGUAAAUCACACUUCGUUUUGCCAGAGAGUGCACUGCACGAGCCUGAGUUUCUUUUCUUCUAGGGGUUAUUUGUGAUGUCAUCUUCCCAGCUUCAUCCUGCAUUUCAUCGAGCCCCCAACAUGUUUACUUCUUCCUAUUCUAAAGGGUUCUGUGUCUUCUGGAUGGGCUGGAGCAGCCGGGCCGGGAUGGGCUGGGAAGUGGGAUGCCUCUCAGUGUGCAAGACCUGAGCCCACUGGGCACCGAUACUCACGGCCCGGCUGUUUACUCAUUCAUUCACUAAAGCAACUUCAGAGGCACCUGGGUGGCUCAGUGGUUGAGCGUCUGCCUUCGGCUCAGGGCAUGAUCCUGAGGUCCUGGGAUUGGGUCCCACAUCGGGUUUCCUGCGGGAAGCCGGCUUCUCCCUCUGCCUAUGUCUCUGCCUCUCUCUGUGUCUCAUGAAUAAAUAAAUAAAUAUUAAAAAAAGAAAAGCAACUUCAGAUUGAUCACUUGUAACCAGAGACUCAGCUACGUCCUAGAAGAUGCCGCUCAAUAUCACUCGUUCCUGAUCCUGCUUAUUUGGGAGAUCCCCAAUGAUACCUGAAACCUAUUCAUACUAACAAAUGUCUGUCAUUAAUAUAUACUGAGAUCUUACUACCUGUCAGGCAUUGCUCCAAGCGUUUUGUAAAACUAAGCUCAUUUACUCCUUACAACAAUCCUCUGGGGUGAAAAUCGCCUUUAUCCCUAUUUUACAGAUAAGGAAAUCAAGGCACAGACAGGUCAGUUUGAUGAUUGGUCCAAAGUGUCACAGCUGACAAAAUUCCACUAGGGCAGCUUGUGAACCACUAUUCAAUGCCACCCUUGAUAUGCAAAGAAGCAAGGGGAAGCUGGUUCAUUAUGAUUAAGCAUCUAUCACAUAUGCUUUAUGAUGUAGAUUUAGAUUCAGAUUUACAGUGCUUUAUAAUGUAGAUCUGCUAGGUGAUUUCUAUGACAACACAUCCUUUCAUUUCUAAUUCUGGAAAAUAAGCUCUAUGAUUUUACUCAUUUUACCAAGAAAAAUGAGGCUCAGAGAAUGACCCACCCACAAACAUACCCACAUAAUAUGCCACCAGGCUGAGAC